rnacentral:rRNA from 1 species
UACAGAGGUCCCAAGCGUUGUUCGGAUUCAUUGGGCGUAAAGGGUGCGUAGGCGGUGGGGUAAGUUGGAUGUGAAAUCUUGGGGCUUAACCUCAAAAUUGCAUUCAAUACUGCUCCGCUCGAGUUCUGUAGAGGAGAUUGGAAUUUACGGUGUAGCAGUGAAAUGCGUAGAUAUCGUAAGGAACGCCAGUGGCGAAAGCGAAUCUCUGGGCAGCAACUGACGCUGAGGAGCGAAAGCAUGGGGAGCGAACAGG